GACGAACGCUGGCGGCGUGCCUAAUACAUGCAAGUCGAGCGGACCAAAGGGAGCUUGCUCCUGGAGGUCAGCGGCGAACGGGUGAGUAACACGUGGGCAACCUGCCUGUAAGACUGGGAUAACAUCGAGAAAUCGGUGCUAAUACCGGAUAAUAAAAAGAACUGCAUGGUUCUUUUUUGAAAGAUGGUUUCGGCUAUCACUUACAGAUGGGCCCGCGGCGCAUUAGCUAGUUGGUGAGGUAACGGCUCACCAAGGCAACGAUGCGUAGCCGACCUGAGAGGGUGAUCGGCCACACUGGGACUGAGACACGGCCCAGACUCCUACGGGAGGCAGCAGUAGGGAAUCUUCCGCAAUGGACGAAAGUCUGACGGAGCAACGCCGCGUGAGUGAUGAAGGUUUUCGGAUCGUAAAACUCUGUUGUUAGGGAAGAACAAGUGCCGUUCGAAAGGGCGGCACCUUGACGGUACCUAACGAGAAAGCCACGGCUAACUACGUGCCAGCAGCCGCGGUAA
rnacentral:rRNA from 1 species